AUGAGUGUUCACCUCGCAACUGGGAGUCGCGGAAAGAAAGCGUCCGACAGCUGCCAGAAAGUUAGUCAUAUCCUUUGCCAGUUUGAAGGCAGCUCCCCCAGAGUCUCCCUGAAGGCAACUGAAAUUGAGAAUAGUGCCCAGCACAUAGGGGAUGGACAACCAGUAUUUGCUCAGUGGUGAAGGAAUGGGUGCACGCCUAGGAAAAUGCCCUGUGGAGGGUGAAGAGGAUCCUUCUGUUGGACUUCAAGACAGGAUUUUAAAAACACCAUCCACAAAAUGAGAUCAUUCAACCUGAAGC